GACGAACGCUGGCGGCGUGCUUAACACAUGCAAGUCGAACGGAAAGGCCCUGCUUUUGUGGGGUGCUCGAGUGGCGAACGGGUGAGUAACACGUGAGUAACCUGCCCUUGACUUUGGGAUAACUUCAGGAAACUGGGGCUAAUACCGGAUAGGAGCUCCUGCUGCAUGGUGGGGGUUGGAAAGUUUCGGCGGUUGGGGAUGGACUCGCGGCUUAUCAGCUUGUUGGUGGGGUAGUGGCUUACCAAGGCUUUGACGGGUAGCCGGCCUGAGAGGGUGACCGGCCACAUUGGGACUAAGAUACGGCCCAGAAUCCUACGGGAGGCAGCAGUGGGGAAUAUUGCACAAUGGGCGGAAGCCUGAUGCAGCAACGCCGCGUGCGGGAUGACGGCCUUCGGGUUGUAAACCGCUUUCGCCUGUGACGAAGCGUGAGUGACGGUAAUGGGUAAAGAAGCACCGGCUAACUACGUG
rnacentral:rRNA from 1 species